GAAUUGACGGGACCCCGCACAAGCAGCGGAGCGUGUGGUUUAAUUCGAUGAUACGCGAAAAACCUUACCUGGGUUUGACAUGCAAGUGGUAGGAAUCUGAAAGGGGACCGACCCUUCGGGGAGCUUGCACAGGUGCUGCAUGGCUGUCGUCAGCUCGUGUCGUGAGAUGUUCGGUUAAGUCCGCUAACGAGCGCAACCCUCGUCGUGUGUUACAAGUGUCACGCGAGACCGCCGACGUCAAGUCGGAGGAAGGUGGGGAUGAUGUCAAGUCAGCAUGGCCUUUAUAUCCAGGGCUACACACACGCUACAAUGGUCAACACAAUAGGUCGCGAAACCGCGAGGUGGAGCCAAUCCUCAAAGUUGGCCUCAGUUCAGAUUGUAGGCUGCAACUCGCCUGCAUGAAGAUGGAGUUGCUAGUAACCGCAGGUCAGCACUACUGCGGUGAAUACGUUCCCGGGGUUU
rnacentral:rRNA from 1 species